CUACCAAGACAGUGACGGUUGACGGGAAAUUAGGGUUUUGUACCGGAGAGGGAGCCUGAGAGAUUGCUCCCACGUCCAAGGACGGCAGCAGGCGCGAAAAUUGCCCACUCUUUGCAGGAGGCAGUUAUGAGACGUGAAGAUGAGUAUCUUGUAAAGAGGGAUAGGAGAAUUGGAGGGCAAGUUUGGUGCCAGCAGCCGCGGUAAUACCGACUCCAAGAGUGUGUAUGAGAGAUGCUGCAGUUAAAAAGUCCGUAGUCAUAGAAGGGCAAAGAGAGACGCGAGGUCUCACAGUGCGAUGAUGGAGGAGCCGAUGGGGAACAUAGUAUACCAGGGCGAGAGAUGAAAUGCCAAGACCCCUGGUGGACUGAGCGAGGCGAAGGCGAUGUUCUUGUAGGCAUUCGGUGAUCAAGGACGAAGGCUGGAGUAUCGAAAGUGAUUAGAUACCGCAGUAGUUCCAGCAGUAAAAGAUGCC
rnacentral:rRNA from 1 species